GAAAAAAGGAGAAGGAAGGAAGGAAGGAGCUCGUCGGGACUGGAAGGGAAGCAGAAGAGAGUCAUCGGCAGCGCGCACGCAGACAGCAUGCGUGCGUGCGUGCGUGCACGCGGGGGAGGAAGACGAGCAGAGGAUUUGUAGCGCUUCUUCGUGAACAUGAAAAUAGACCCAUCCUAAGUUGUUCUUUUGGAGUCGUCAAGACAAAUUGUUAUGGAAGUGAAUUUCUACAGUGAAUCUGGCCCGGUUGGCACUGCGAGCGCCCCCACCCACCUCAACAACUUGAUAAACUCCAUUCUCCCAAGCCGCCUCGCUGUGGGAGACGGCCACCGGGGGACGCCUGGUGUAUGUCAGCUGGACCUUAAACUAAUUAGCAGCUUUCCACCAUAUCUGGAUUCCAGACUUCAAAGACGCUUGUGAUGUGCAGAACUGAUAGCGACCAAAAGGCUGAACCCUCUCAACCACUGGGAACAUUGCUGGAACGCAGACGACAUCUGCUGGCCUUUGAGAGUUACUGCAAUGUGUGGACUUUCAAUUGAAGUUUCUUUUACUGAAGAUAAAUGUCUGUUCUGAUAUUUCACAAACUAUGUAGAACUAUUCCAAAUGUAUACCUUGAUGUCUGUGUCAUUGUUUCAGCUUUACAGGUCCAGCUGCAAGACCUGAGAACUGUUCGUCUUGAUUUGAAGCCAAACAGUAUGAAAUGUGAUUGAACAAUGAGCAACUGAUCUGCCAAGACUAAAAUUUAAACAAUCUAUGUGCUUGAUCUAUGAGUAAGACCACAAAGUUGGGAGUAAUUUAUAUUAAUACCCUUGUGAGGAUAAGCGGCUCAGAAAAUGGAUGGAUGGAUAUGAUUUUUACACCAUUUUUAUGGCUAAAUUGUAGACUAAAAUUAAAGUCGAUGGACGUGGUCUUCUCCAUUUUCUCUGUCCUUUAGUCACACCCCCGGGGUAUUAAUGCUUUGACUCCCACUUCUUCUCACUCUCUUGGGUCUUGCUCUCUUGUGCUUCAUGCUGAGGAUUACCUACGCACGGCUCUGCCGUGGUACCACCUCUCCCACCUCCCCUUUUCUUUGUUCAAACACGCAGUUCGGCCAGCGCGAGCCUGGGAUGAAAACCUGGCUUUCAAAAAAGCUGGGACAGGGUCAUGUUUACCACUGUGUUACAUCACCUUUUCUUUUAACAACAUUCAAUAAACGUUUGGGAACUUAGGACACUAAUUGCUGAAGCUUUGUCGGUGGAAUUCUUUCCCAUUCUUGCUUGAUGUACAGCUUCAGCUGUCCAACAGUUCGGUGUCGCCGUUGUCGUAUUUUACCCUUCAUAAUACACCACACAAUUUCAAUGGGAGGCAGGCCAGUCUAGUAUCCGCACUAUUUUGCUACGAAGCCGCCCUGUUGUAACACGUGCAGGAUGUGGUUGCUUGGAUAGCAGCAUAUGUUUCUCCAAAACCUGUAUGUACCUUUCAGCAUUAAUGGUGCAUUCACAGAAGUGUAAGUUAUCCAUGCCAUUGGCACUAACACAGCCCCAUAACAUAACAUCAUGCUGGCGUUUGAACUUUGCAUCUUUGAAUCCAUAAAUUCCUUGCAAUUGUACAUUGAGGAACAUUGUCCUUAAACUGUUCGACUAUUUUCUCACACACUUGUUCACAAAGAGGUGAACCUCGCCCCAUCUUUGCUUGUGAAUGACUGAGUAAUUCAGGGAAGCGCCUUUUAAAACCAAUCAUGGCACCCACCUGUUCCCAAUUAGCCUGUUCACCUGUGGAUGUUCCAAACAAGUGUUUGAUGAGCAUUCCUCAACUUUCUCAGUGUUUUGUGCCACCUGUCCCAGCUGUUUUGGAACGUGUUGCAGCCAUAAAAUUCUAAGUUAAUGAUUAUUUGUUAAAAACAAUCAAGUUUAUCAGUUUGAACAUUAAAUAUCUUCUUUGUAGUGUAUUCAAUUAAAUAUAGCUCAAACAUGAUUUGCAAAUCAUUGUAUCCUGUUUUUAUUUAUGUUUAACACAACGUCCCAACUUCAUUGGAAUU